UCACACAGUUGGUUAUAGCCACCCUUCCUUUCAACUGCAGCAACUUCUGGAGCCAUCCUAAAAUAUAUGUUUUUAAGAGGAAAGACAUUUCUCUGUUAGACUUCUCUCUCUCUACAACUAACUCAAACACUUUUCAGUAUACGGUUACAUGCUAUAGCCCUAUCAGGCUAUGAACUCAAUCCAAGCAUGGCUGGGUCUCAUUAAUAUGGAAAACCACCAAGAAAAACCUCAGCUGGAGUAGGAGUUCAGUAGAUGAUACUCUUCCCUCCCAGUCGGUAAUAAAUCAAUGCCCCAGAACAAUGAAAGGCAGUCAGAGGCAGUUGGAACUGACCAAAGAUAUUAACACUUUUUGAACAACGG